rnacentral:rRNA from 1 species
UACGUAGGGUGCAAGCGUUAAUCGGAAUUACUGGGCGUAAAGCGUGCGCAGGCGGUUCGUUGUGUCGGCGGUGAAAGCCCCGGGCUUAACCUGGGAAUGGCCGUUGAAACUGGCGAACUGGAGUGUGGCAGAGGGGGUGGAAUUCCGCGUGUAGCAGUGAAAUGCGUAGAGAUGCGGAGGAACACCGAUGGCGAAGGCAGCCCCCUGGGCUAACACUGACGCUCAGGCACGAAAGCGUGGGAGCAAACAGG